UCAAAAACAUCUCUUCUUGAAUAAUGGAUAAGAAGUAGGCCCUGCCCGGUGACUUAGCUGUUAAACGGCGGUUAAAGCCUUAAAGUAGCGUAAUCAAUUGGCCUUUAAUUGGGGUCUAGUAUGAAUGGGUUGACGUCGGGGCAACUUUCUUACAGAAAAUUGUUGAAAUUUACGUUCUAGUGAAAAGGCAAGGUUGCCCUUAAUAGACGAGAAGACCCUAUCGAGCUCGUUAACCAAAAUUAAGGGGGUGGUCACGGUAGAUUCGUUGGGGAAACGUCGGAGAAAGGAAACCUCCGAUAAUUCUUAUAAGGGUCCUAUUUCUAUAGCGUAAAGAAAUAGUUACCGUAGGGAUAACAGCGCGAGACCAUCUGGAAGGUCAUAUUUAAGGUGGUAUUUGCGACCUCGAUGUUGGAUUAGGGCAUCUUCCAGGCGCAGAAGCUUGGCGAGAGGGUACUGUUCGCCCCUUAAACCCCU
rnacentral:rRNA from 1 species